rnacentral:rRNA from 1 species
GACGAACGCUGGCGGCGUGCUUAACACAUGCAAGUCGAACGGAAAGGCCCUGCUUUUGUGGGGUGCUCGAGUGGCGAACGGGUGAGUAACACGUGAGUAACCUGCCCUUGACUUUGGGAUAACUUCAGGAAACUGGGGCUAAUACCGGAUAGGAGCUCCUGCUGCAUGGUGGGGGUUGGAAAGGUUCGGCGGUUGGGGAUGGACUCGCGGCUUAUCAGCUUGUUGGUGGGGUAGUGGCUUACCACGGCUUUGACGGGUAGCCGGCCUGAGAGGGUGACCGGCCACAUUGGGACUGAGAUACGGCCCAGACUCCUACGGGAGGCAGCAGUGGGGAAUAUUGCACAAUGGGCGGAAGCCUGAUGCAGCAACGCCGCGUGCGGGAUGACGGCCUUCGGGUUGUAAACCGCUUUCGCCUGUGACGAAGCGUGAGUGACGGUAAUGGGUAAAGAAGCACCGGCUAACUACGUG